AGUAAACGGCCGCGGUAUUUUGACCGUGCAAAGGUAGCGUAAUCAUUUGCUCUUUAAUUGGGGGCUGGGAUGAAAGGAAGGUCGAGGGUUUUACUGUCUCUUUUUCAUUAUUAUAACUUGCUGCUUUUGUGAAGAAGCAAAAUUAUUUAAGGGGGACAAGAAGACCCUAUUAAGCUUUACUUUUUUAGGCUUUUUGUUUAAAGUUUUAUUAUAUUGAUAGGUUGUUUGAAAAGUUUGGUUGGGGCGACCAAAGAAGAUUUAUAUCUUCUUUGUUUUUUAAACUUUGGGUUUAAGAAUGAACCAAGAAUUCUUGGUUGAAAGAAUUAGUUACUAUAGGGAUAACAGCGUAAUUUUUUCGUAGAGUUCUUAUUGAUGAAAAGGAUUGCGACCUCGAUGUUGACUUGUUUUAUCCUUUUUAGGUGUAGCAGCUGUAAGGGUUAGUCUGUUCGACUAUUAAAAUAAC
rnacentral:rRNA from 1 species